rnacentral:rRNA from 1 species
GACGAACGCUGGCGGCGUGCUUAACACAUGCAAGUCGAACGGUGAAAGCGGAGCUUGCUCCGCUGGAUCAGUGGCGAACGGGUGAGUAACACGUGGGCAACCUGCCCCUCACUUCGGGAUAACUCCGGGAAACCGGGGCUAAUACCGGAUAUGACCUCCUUGGGCAUCCUUGGAGGUGGAAAGUUUUUCGGUGAGGGAUGGGCCCGCGGCCUAUCAGCUUGUUGGUGAGGUAGUGGCUCACCAAGGCGACGACGGGUAGCCGGCCUGAGAGGGCGACCGGCAACACUGGGACUGGGACACGGCCCAGGCUCCUACGGGAGGCAGCAGUGGGGAAUAUUGCGCAAUGGGCGAAAGCCUGACGCAGCAACGCCGCGUGCGGGAUGACGGCCUUCGGGUUGUAAACCGCUUUCAGCAGGGAAGAAGCCGCAAGGUGACGGUACCUGCAGAAGAAGCACCGGCUAACUACGUGCCAGCCGCCGCCGUAA